rnacentral:lncRNA from 1 species
CAGUCCCUCUGCUAUGGCUCUUCCUCAGUAGAAACAACUGGCAACAAAAUUCAAGUUUAUGAUUCAUUCAUCAGCAAACAUGUGAGAAUCAUCUACAAAGAACCAAGAAUUGUGGUGAAAACUCCAAAGCUUAACAUUCUAACCACUCUAGGGAGGGAGGAUGGGAGGAAGAGAGCUGAGUGUGCACCAAGGAGCGGUAAGAUGCCAGACCUGUGAGUGAAGAAGCAUCUUGGAAGUGGACCCUAUAGCUCCAGGCACCUGCUGACACAUAGUCGGAGACAAACCACCCAGUCAAGUUCAACCCAAAUUCCUGACCCAAAAAAUCAUAAGCAAAAUAAAAUAUUUGUUUAAAGCCA